ACCUCGGUGGUGUAGUGGUAGCACGUGUCCCCUCUAUGGAUGAAACGCGGGUUUGACUCCCGCCUAAGGUC